rnacentral:rRNA from 1 species
ACGUACACUCCUGCGGGAGGCAGCAGUGGGGAAUAUUGGACAAUGGGCGCAAGCCUGAUCCAGCCAUGCCGCGUGAGUGAUGAAGGCCCUAGGGUUGUAAAGCUCUUUCACCGGUGAAGAUAAUGACGGUAACCGGAGAAGAAGCCCCGGCUAACUUCGUGCCAGCAGCCGCGGUAAUACGAAGGGGGCUAGCGUUGUUCGGAUUUACUGGGCGUAAAGCGCACGUAGGCGGACUAUUAAGUCAGGGGUGAAAUCCCGGGGCUCAACCCCGGAACUGCCUUUGAUACUGGUAGUCUUGAGUUCGAGAGAGGUGAGUGGAAUUCCGAGUGUAGAGGUGAAAUUCGUAGAUAUUCGGAGGAACACCAGUGGCGAAGGCGGCUCACUGGCUCGAUACUGACGCUGAGGUGCGAAAGCGUGGGGAGCAAACAGGAUUAGAAACCCGUGUAGUCCCAU